UUGUGAGUGACGGGUAUNGUUCAAAUGUUAAACUAAUUUUUUGAAAGUAGGCGGAGAAUUUGGGGCUUGCUCCUACUCCGUCGCGGGUUGUCCCGGUUUAGCACCACCACCGGGAACGGCCCAAUAUAUUUAACAAUUAUCCUCCUGAAUAACAAUAUUAUGUGGAAUUGUAGUCCAGACCGUUUUUGAGUUUAGCGGCGUAGUAGAUAUGAACAACGCUGUGAACAUCGUUUGAAA